rnacentral:rRNA from 1 species
CGAAAGCGGGGCUAAUACCCGAUGAUAUUUCGGGGCAGCAUUGCUCUGGAAUCAAAAGCCCCAAAAGGGUGUCAUAAGAUGGGCCUGCGUCCCAUGAGAUAGUUGGCGGGGUAAUGGCCCACCAAGUCGACGAUGGGUAGCUGGUCUGAGAGGACGACCAGCCACACUGGAACUGAGAAACGGUCCAGACUUCUACGGAAGGCAGCAGUGAGGAAUAUUGCUCAAUGGGCGAAAGCCUGAAGCAGCGACGCCGCGUGAGGGAUGAAAUCCGUUAGGAUGUAAACCUCUUUUGCAGGGGAUGAAUGUUCCGGUUACCGGAAUUGACCGUACCCUGCGAAUAAGCACCGGCCAACUACGUGCCAGCAGCCGCGGUAAUACGUAGGGUGCAAGCGUUGUCCGGAAUUACUGGGUGUAAAGGGUCCGCAGGCGGGCAAGCAAGUCGAUGGUGAAAUCUCACGGCUCAACCGUGAAACUGCCUUCGAUACUGCUUGUCUUGAGUUCGAGAGAGGAUGAUGGAAUUCAUGGUGUAGCGGUGAAAUGCGUAGAGAUCAUGAAGAACACCAGUAGCGAAGGCGGUCAUCUGGCUCGAUACUGACGCUCAGGGACGAAAGCGUGGGGAGCAAACAGGAUUAGAUACCCUGGUAGUCC